rnacentral:rRNA from 1 species
GUGGGGAAUAUUGGACAAUGGGCGCAAGCCUGAUCCAGCAAUGCCGCGUGCAGGAAGAAGGCCUUCGGGUUGUAAACUGCUUUUGUACGGAACGAAACGGUCCGGGUUAAUACCCUGGGCUAAUGACGGUACCGUAAGAAUAAGCACCGGCUAACUACGUGCCAGCAGCCGCGGUAAUACGUAGGGUGCAAGCGUUAAUCGGAAUUACUGGGCGUAAAGCGUGCGCAGGCGGGUUUGUAAGACAGGCGUGAAAUCCCCGGGCUCAACCUGGGAAUUGCGCUUGUGACUGCAAGGCUGGAGUGCGGCAGAGGGGGAUGGAAUUCCGCGUGUAGCAGUGAAAUGCGUAGAUAUGCGGAGGAACACCGAUGGCGAAGGCAAUCCCCUGGGCCUGCACUGACGCUCAUGCACGAAAGCGUGGGGAGCAAACAGGAUUAGAAACCCUUGUAGUCC